AUCUCACUAAAAAUAGGAUGUAUAGACCACUAUACAUUAUAUUUUGUUUCCACUGACUUGUCAGUGUGACUGGUGCCGGAGGUAUGCCUUGGCAGAAUAGCCAGAAUUGUCAUGGCUAUCUCCUUUUGCUGCUAAUAUUACUGAUUGUUACUCUCAUUGCUACGCAGCUGCUAUGGCAAUACUUUGUGCCAUCAAAUCUAGUUACAGCCUUGGACCACAAACGGCACCUGCCACCAAACACUAAUAUUAAUUCUCUGCCGUUAAACAUGGUUACAAUCGCCCAGACCAAAUGGAAACCUGAUUUUAGAGUUAUAUAUGAAAAUACCCCUCUUUUGUUUAUAAUUUUCGAUUCUGCUAAUAUAUAUUUUUGGUCGACGUUAAUAUCUUGUCAGCUCCAUAUUCUUAUUUAAUUAAUAAUUAACAUUAUAACGCCUGGGUAUCCCCAUUUGUCGAGUAAAAAUGAAAAUGGGGGGGGGGUCAAAGAAAAAUAUUCUAAUAUGUAGGGGGGGUCAUCAAUAAAUUUCUGCUCUUUAAAGAGGGGGCUUUCAAUUUUAAAAAUUUAGGAAAGAAAAAAUUCCCCUCCCCCCCUUCCAUAAAUAAUGACCGGUCCCUUAACGAAUAGAAAAUCCGAAAUUUAGAUCGCCGAGUUUGAGUGAAUUUACAAAUUAAUUUUAUAUUGAUAUGAGCAUACAAGGACAAGUUUAUAUAAUUCAUUUCCAAGCCGUCGAAUUUCUUUCCAAUCCUUCAGGUAUACAUUUAUUGAUAUUUUAUACUUGACAUGUUCAUCACCCUACAAUAAGAAAAGACAGUCCUGCAAUAAUCCCUUAAAAACGAGUAUUUUUACAGUUGUACACUUCUAUGUUUGUCAAUCGCGUUUUGUUUCAUAAUAAUUGAGACGCUCUAUUAGAAUUAUUUAUGAAAGUCAUAAUAACUCGUCCAAUAGUGACAUGAGAAAUCUGACAGAAUGGUGACAAGUAGCAGUUUGUUUCAGAUUCACACAUCAGGACGAACGUUUCAGUGACCCUAAUUUUCAAACUGAUUACGGGAUUUUAACACCCACGCUCCCCUCUUAACGACUUUGACCCCGCUCCCCUCUCUCCUUCUCUACAUUUACACUCCCCCACGCAAGUUAUCAUUUUUAUGCCAACGUGGACGCAUCAGGUGGCUCUUGAUGUCAAUAAGAUGUCAUACAUAUUCCAUUAGAGUAGAAUAAAUGGAAUCCGAGUAAUGAGGAACUUGAUGAUUAUUUAGAUUGCAUUGCUCGAUGAUCGCAUGUUAUUCUUACAACGGUUCUACAAACAUGAGAAAUACAUCUUCGAACCGACUAAUCUGAGAACUGAUUGUUAUAACUCAGGCAAUGGGAAGACAGAUUGCCUGAACUCGAGAUGCCUGCGUAAUGCUGCGGGAAAUACGCCUAGCCUAUUCUCAAUACAAAAAUGUGGUCAAAAAUGAGGAGAGUUAUACCACGAUUUCGAUUAAAUUCCAAGAAAUCAUGCAAACAUGCACGACAUCAUGAGACAAAUAUAAAUUAACCUUCACAAUGAGUGCCGUUUAAUUUCCAGUGUAGCCAGAAUUACAAGUACAAUUGAAGAACCUUCUGUAUUGCCACAUAUAUGGUUGUUAUAGUAGUUCCUGCUGUACAUUCAUUGAUAUCUGAAAAGUUUGCUUGAACGAAAUCAUAUGACCGCGAUAUAAAUUAAUUGGUGAAUUCUUCUUUACGUCACUUUUGCCAUGUUAAACUUACAAAAAUUUUUGCCCGUUUUAGGUUUAGAAAUUGUCCAACUACAAUUUUUCUUUUGGCAGAUGAACCUGGUAUCCCGGUUUCGUACACCUAUGUGUCUUGGCGCUGUAUAUUCCUAUAUGGGUUUUGUGCACCAAAAACUAAAGUUUACAAUGAGUGCCGUUUCCUGUGUAGCCAGAUUUACAAUAACAAUCGAAUGAACCUCCUGUAUUUUUGUAUGUCGUGUUUUCAUGGCAAUUUGCAAUUCCUGCUGUACAUCCGUCCAUAUCUGAAAAGUUCUUUUGAAGGAAAUGAUGCAUGACCUACACUAAUUAAUACGAACUUAUAUUUCCAAUUUAACCAAAUUCAAAGUUUAAAACAAUUGAAAGACCCUUCAGUAUUAUUGCAUGAAGCUUUGUCAUGGCAAUUGUGAUUUUCUUCAGUGCAUUCAUCAAAAUCUAAUAAGAUAAAUAAAGGUGAUAUAGGGCGGUAAUUGUUUGGAUCGGUAUCUGCACCAUCUUUGUAAAUUGGAAUAAUUUUUGCAAUUUUUAAUUUUUGGGGGUAGAUUCCUCGCUCAAUAGAAGUAUUAAUAAUGUCAGCUAGAGGUUUGCUUAGAACAUUUUUUGCGCAUUUUAAGAUACGUGUAGGGCAGGAAUAUAAGCCAUACGACUUAUCCCCGAGCCGGCGGCGCGAAGCGCCGUGCGAGGGUACUAAUUCCGCCCGGCUAUUUACA
rnacentral:lncRNA from 1 species